AGUGAACGCUGGCGGUAGGCCUAACACAUGCAAGUCGAACGGCAGCACAGUAAGAGCUUGCUCUUACGGGUGGCGAGUGGCGGACGGGUGAGGAAUACAUCGGAAUCUACUUUUUCGUGGGGGAUAACGUAGGGAAACUUACGCUAAUACCGCAUACGACCUACGGGUGAAAGCAGGGGAUCUUCGGACCUUUCGCGAUUGAAUGAGCCGAUGUCGGAUUAGCUAGUUGGGGAGGUAAAGGCCCACCAAGGCGAAGAUCCGUAGCUGGUCUGAGAGGAUGAUCAGCCACACUGGAACUGAGACAACGUCCAGACUCCUACGGGAGGCAGCAGUGGGGAAUAUUGGACAAUGGGCGCAAGCCUGAUCCAGCCAUACCGCGUGGGUGAAGAAGGCCUUCGGGUUGUAAAGCCCUUUUGUUGGGAAAGAAAAGCAGCAGGUUAAUACCCCGCUGUUCUGACGGUACCCAAAGAAUAAGCACCGGCUAACUUCGUG
rnacentral:rRNA from 1 species